GUUCUGUUGUGAAAAUAUCUGAUGUGAUUGGUCAAAAGACCAAUUAGUGGAAGAAAAAUCAGAAUGCAGCUGCCUGUGUAAACUCAGCAUUUGUGACUUUCUGAAAAAAUUGCCCCCUCCCCUUAUUAUCUCAUGCUGUUUAGUCUUACUUUCUCUUUGCUAUUAGAACAGAUCACUUCAAAACACAACUGCAAUACAGUUAACAGAAAAUAAUCCCAUAGCUGCAGGAUCCAUAUUGGAGCGCAGAGGUCAUUUUCAACAGGGCUCUUUCGUGUAAUUUCAGAUUUUCAUAAAGUGUGCAAUAUAAAUGGCACCCGAGAUUAAAUCCUACACAGUUGAGACUGGCAAUACUUUGGAUUCUCAUAUUCAGUUUAUGAGUCAACUCAACAAGACCACAAGAUGUUUUACGGAAGUCGAGUCGCCAGUGGAGAGUGAUGUCAUCCUGGCUUUCUGUCCCAUCGUCUCCCGCGCCGGGACUGAUAUUGAAGCAGCACUGCAACAGAUUCCAAUUGGUAAAGAUGUCAUUCUGGUAGUGCUGCAUCACAUCUUCAACCCAGACUCCACUGUACCUGACAGCUGCAGACUAGUGACCAGAAGUGAUGUAAUACUCACAGUGGACUGUCUGUUCCAUGAGAGCCAGGGAGGACUACUGGACUGUCCUCGCAAUGAUGCAGCAGUCAGCGCGAUUCUGAGAAAGCUGAUUAAACAACCUAAGAGAGGUGCAGGGGGCCCAACGCUCCUAACCUCCAGGCCACCUGCCGCCCCCGGAACAGAUCACAUCAAACCACAACUGCAAUACAGUUGGCAGAAAAUAAUCCCAUAACUGCAGGCAGCAGACUAGUGACCAGAGGUGAUGUAAUACUCACAGUGGACUGUCUGUCCCAUGAGAACCAGAGAGGACUAGUGGAGUGUCCUCACAAUGAUGCAGCAGCCAGCGCGAUUAGGAAGAAGCUUGGCAUAGAUCUUAUGAAGUCAUGGCUUUCUAUCUAGGAUUAUAAACAUUGUCAUGGCGGCAGCGACUUCAGUCUACGACUACUUUUUCAAUCACAAUCCACGUCCUUCUUAAAGACCUUGUUCUGGCAGUCUGAGAUUGUGAGCUAUAUAAUGAUCCAUGUCCCUCUUCAAGACCUCGUUCCAGAAGUGAUGAAAGCAGUUCCACUUUUGUACCAGCAAUGAGACAUGUUGAUUGUUUUCAUGGAUUACAUCUUUAAUUUCAUGGCCUACUUAAGAAAAUGUCUUUACUUUUGAUGCUAAGAGCACUUGCGGUUGUAAUGUAUAGAAAUUGGGGCCGAUAUAAAAAAUGUUAAUAAAAAUGAAUGGAAAAAAAUAAAGAACAAACCGUAUCUGUG